rnacentral:rRNA from 1 species
GAUGAACGCUGGCGGCGUGCCUAAUACAUGCAAGUCGAGCGAACAGACGAGGAGCUUGCUCCUCUGACGUUAGCGGCGGACGGGUGAGUAACACGUGGAUAACCUACCUAUAAGACUGGGAUAACUUCGGGAAACCGGAGCUAAUACCGGAUAAUAUAUUGAACCGCAUGGUUCAAUAGUGAAAGACGGUUUUGCUGUCACUUAUAGAUGGAUCCGCGCCGCAUUAGCUAGUUGGUAAGGUAACGGCUUACCAAGGCAACGAUGCGUAGCCGACCUGAGAGGGAGAGCGGCCACACUGGAACUGAGACACGGUCCAGACUACUACGGGAGGAAGCAGUAGGGAAUAUUCCGCAAUGGGCGAAAGCAUGACGGAGCAACGCCGCGUGAGUGAUGAAGGUCUUCGGAUCGUAAAACUCUGUUAUUAGGGAAGAACAAAUGUGUAAGUAACUAUGCACGUAUUGACGGUACCUAAUCAGAAAGCCACGGCUAACUACGUG